UACUACCACAAGGACAGUUAUAUUUAAUUUUGACUGUAUUGAAAUGAAGGGUCUUACUUAAUUAAAAUAUUAUAGCUUGUUGUGUUACCACAAAGUUAACAAUAUUUUAGAGGCUAAGAUAUAAAAUUAAAAAUUACAUGAGAUGCAAUUGGAAAGAGUUUUCUAACUAUGAACUCAUAAAGAUUUGUUGCAUUAACACAAGAUCAUUAUGGAGAAUUAGGGUCUCAAUCCCACUA
rnacentral:lncRNA from 1 species